rnacentral:lncRNA from 7 species
AACUGAACGGCAUCUCGUGGAAAAGAUUCGGAGGUGACCUCAAAACCAAACCUGUCUGAAGGUUUUCGUGGGGCUGGAAUCAGUGGAUGCUGAAGUAGCUCUUAGCUGUGCCAGGAGGCCUCUUAGCGACCAGCACUUAUACAGGCUCACACAUCUCCCACAUCGAAAUCGGCAUUCUUGGAUCCGCUGAGUUUUGAUCCACAGUGAGAUAAGGCCUAAGGGAACUCUCUCUGGAGUGUAUUUCAUUUUGUUCUCUGAAUCAAGGAGGUCAAAUUCUGCUUACUUCAGUGGAACUGUUCUAGCUAAGGAUCUGCUUUUUGGCUUGUAAAAUCAGCUGCAAGUGUGUAAUGGGGGUGGCUUGGCUCUCUUCACAAAAGAGACGGAGCCCAAAGCAAGACCAUCUCGGACCAGAUGAACUUUGGGAUGGAGAUUGUCCCUCCUCCAUUCUUCUGGUGGACUCUUUAUUGACCUUCCUGUGGGGAAGCAUCCUAUUAGGGGGGUCUUUGACCCACCCUCCAAGAAAAGCAGGAGACACGGUGAAGCCUGUGCUGGUGGCAGUCACAAGAAGAGCUGUCUGUGCUCAGGUGGCUUCCAGGGCUGUCUGUGCUCAGGGAAAGGAAACAUCCUCCAUUGUUUCUCCCCUAUAUUUGACUGAAACGAAGUUGAUGAAGUAUUAGGAGGAGAUGACGGCAGCUAAAGGGGAGUUCAGUGGUUGUCCUUCACUUUUGUCUUCUGUCUUUUCAAGCUUAAGGCAGCAACUUCCAAAAUUCUUCGUGAGCCAAUCAGAGCACUGAUGGAGGGAACACCUUCAGCCACUGCACCUUAACAGCCACCUCGAGUGGCCCUGUGCUGGGUUUUUAAUCAUAUGAUGGCUUUUAAUUGAUGCUUUCUGUAAUAAACGAGGGGCUGCUGUGUUUUCACU